GAUGAAGAACGUAGCGAAAUGCGAUAAGUAGUGUGUAUUGCAGAAUUCAGUGAAUCAUCGAAUCUUUGAACGCACAUUGCGCCCUUUGGUAUUCCUUAGGGCAUGCCUGUUCGAGCGUCAUUUAAACCUUCAAGCUAAGCUUGGUGUUGGGUGACUGUCCGCUUCACGGCGGACUCGCCUCAAAAUUAUUGGCGGCCGGUACAUUGGCUUCGAGCGCAGCAGAAACGCGAACUCGGGCCCGUCGUAUUGGCUCCCAGAAGCUAUCUUCACAAUUUUGACCUCGGAUCAGGUAGGGAUACCCGCUGAACUUAAGCAUAUCAAUAAGCGGAGGA
rnacentral:misc_RNA from 1 species